GCGCAUACAGAAUGGAAUGAAGAAGAAAUGUGGAAAUGACUGGAAUCGAAGCUCCAAAUUCCAGUCCAGCACGUGGCAAGGCGGACCAAAUGGAGACUGCAGGCGCCUACAAGCUGUUAGAGCUAUAAAAAAAGGGAAUCUUCCAGCCUAAAAACGCAGUGGUACGUAUAAAAUGGCAUACAAAUCAGACAGCAAAUCAAAGGCCCCUGCUAAAUAGCUAAAUGUUGUACGUUCUGAAGCGCGAAGAAGAAUUCAUUGAAAGAAAUAAUUGUGGCAAUAUGAAUGAGGCACUUUUUACAUGAAUAUAAGCUCACCAAUACUCAAUCAUAUUGUUACUUUGCUCGUUUUGGAAGAAAAUUGUAUUUGUAAUUGUAAUAAUACUCUCUGUAAGAGUACAAUCAUAUUGAAGCGUGUGUGCCUCAGUUUUGUAAUGCGUGUCUGCCCCCAAUCAAUGCACAACCCACAACCCACAUGCAUAGCGAAGCGGUCUUUCGAUGCAUUCAUAGCUAUGAACAACAAUCUACUCCUAAACCCCAUUGCCGUGGAGCUAAAUCUAAAAAUGAGCGAAACUCAUCUGCAAUUAAAAGUACCCUUUCAUGCUCUAUAUCGAUUGGAAAAUGAAAUUAGUUCUCGCUCAUAAAUGCAGCAUAAAUAUUUAUAUUUUCCAAGCCAAAUAAAUCAAAACAGAACUAAUUUCAGAGUCCAAUUAGCGCCCAAAGAAUUGUUCUAAAUAUGAAAUCAGAAAAUGUGAAAUCUUACGACUUCCUUAGAACUAAUUGAAUAGAUUUUCCACACUAAUUUGUUUAGAGCCAAAGUCCGGUCUGGUUUGCUCUGGUCUGGUCUGCAAGCAUCCUGUUUGGCUAGUUUCGUGGAUGUGGCACAUUAGCAUAUAUUCUUUGCAUACACGAACAGGAUAUGGGGCACACAUUCAGGCUGAGACUGAGGCGGAGAUCUGCUCCAAAUUCUCGUUGUUCAAUCUGUGCCUCAGAUUCUGGUCGUUCUGGUCUACUCAUCAUCGUCGUCUUCCAGUAGAUCGGGCGCAAAGAGAUCACUGACUUCCAGAAAAUAUGCUAACUUCUUUGCAGCAUAAAUGCCCAACAUUACUCCUGGUACAACAUUCACCAGUAUAAGGACCAGCGCCUUUGGUUCCUGUUCUGGCUUCGGUUUCACCCCGCCGUUUCUGUAGUAGGACCGAGACACGUCUUUGGGCCUACCUCUGAAGGCAGGAUUUCGAAGACGAUGCAGUAGCUGUAGCAUUCCCGACUUCAACAAUUUCAACAUUUAAAUCCGAUGUAAAUACAAAUUUUGAAUUUUUAUAGCAAACAUUUCUGAUGGAAAUAUCAAAAACUUUCACCAAACCAAAAUGGUUCGAAGUCACUCAAGAACCUCCUCCUCAUUGGGCAUGCGCGGCGUUGUCGUCGUCGUUGGAAUACUUAUUUGAGUGCGUGUACCCAAUAUGGCACUUCCGUUCUGUUGGCCGCAACCAACAACCAACAAUUGGAUUUGGUCAACCUCUCGCUCGCUGUCUGAUUGUCACUUCUACACUUGGCCUACGUUUACCUCUUUUCGAGGGAUGGCUGUGUUUCCAAAUUUGGGUUCCAAUUUUACCUCAAGAAGUAUAUUUUUAUGAUAGUUGUUUGUCAGAGCGUAGAAAGGAUGAGUUCCUGUGGGGGUCUGUUAAGUUUCCCAGGGUUAAAAGUAUUUUAAAUGUAAUUAUUACACUUAAACUGUUGUACAUUUUCACAGAAACUUUUUUCUAAUAAUCUAUUCUUAAGUGUCUUCAAUUAUUCAUACAAUAUUUUCAGAGGAAUUCCUUGCCCUGCUCUAGCAGUAGCAUGUCCGAGUUGAGGGAACAUUAAAGUCGGCUGGGGGUGGCGAUGGAGGC
rnacentral:lncRNA from 1 species